UCUCCUUCCUUAGGUCCCGUUCUGGACCAAGAGCUGGUCCUGGUGUCUGGUGACUCCGUCUGGCUUCCUAGCUUCCUCCCUCUUCAAACUCAGUGUCUGUAUUGCCGCUCUAUUGACUUCAUGUGUUUCUUUUUUUCCCAAAGAUCUGUUCAAAGUGUGACGAUUUACUUAAUAUUUUGUUUUCUCUCUGUGGAAGAGGUGUUUCCUGACUGCAUCUGGUUGACCAUCUUGUCCCCCAGCUAAAAGUGUAAUUUACAUUUUGAUAUGGUUUGGCUCUGUGUCUGAACUUUAUUACAACUAAAAAUUACUACUUUUAUGUUAGACUAUUCUCAGUCUUCCUUCUUCAUUACCAAACCUUAUUGUUUGAUCCUAUAGAGGCAGUGGAAAUUGCAUCUUCAGAAGAUCGACAUGUGGAUGGAGAGAUUGAAGUUCUUCAACAGGCAUUAUAUAUGAAAAUGAUGCAAAAUAAAUGUGAAACACUACAGAUGGAUGAGGAGAGGUUGGAAGAAGAACUAGUGAACCUCAAAAGUCACAUGGAAAUGAAUAUGUUAGAACGUGGUCUAUUGGAACACCAUAAACAGGAGGUUGAAGAAGAGCAAGGCAGGAGAUAAUAGAACAAUUAGAAAAAGUCAAUCUAUUUUUACAGACACAAGAAACAUCUCAAGAAGAGCUACAGUGGUUACCAGAAGAAAACAUUGCUUCCAUGUAAAGUCAGAUGGAACUUAUAAUUGAAAAUCUGGAAUUCCAACUCUACAAAGCAAACACUUCACAAGCAGACUAUACUACAGCAGAAUUGGAAACAUAUAAGAAACUGCAUCUAGAAGAAUUAAAAGCUAGAGAAUCUCUGUCAGAUAAAUUAAGCAAACCUAAAGAAAUUCUAGCAGAUGUCAGUACCAAACUUCUUCAAGAAAAUGAGUGGAGCAGAUCUUUAUUUACUUCUCAUACUACAAGGCCAGUCCUAGAGUCACCAUGCAAUGGAAAUCUUAAUGAUAAUUUAGAUCUCAACAGAAUACAUAUCCCAAGAGAAACCUUAAUGAUUCCUACUUCAAGCUCAUUGUCUUCAAAUAUCAGAAUGGAGAACGACUUGUCAAAAGUUAGGUAUAGUAUUGUUUUUUCUUUGGUUGUCAGACUUCUGAUAUAGUUCUCUCUAUAUUUUUGGCAAGAUAUUGAGUUGUCUAACUGACUCAUGCAUUUUAAAUAAAGGUCAUAAUUAUCUGUGUUUCUAAGGAAAGGAAACAAAUCUUACAGCUUUUUUUUUUUAAGUCCCUGGGGUUUUAAUUAUUAAAAGAUAUUCAUUUUUUAACUUUACUCAACAAAUGUAACUAUA